rnacentral:rRNA from 1 species
GAUGAACGCUGGCGGCGUGCCUAAUACAUGCAAGUCGAGCGAACGGACGAGAAGCUUGCUUCUCUGAUGUUAGCGGCGGACGGGUGAGUAACACGUGGAUAACCUACCUAUAAGACUGGGAUAACUUCGGGAAACCGUAGCUAAUACCGGAUAAUAUUUUGAACCGCAUGGUUCAAAAGUGAAAGACGGUCUUGCUGUCACUUAUAGAUGGAUCCGCGCUGCAUUAGCUAGUUGGUAAGGUAACGGCUUACCAAGGCAACGAUGCAUAGCCGACCUGAGAGGGUGAUCGGCCACACUGGAACUUGGCCACGGUCCAGACUCCUACGGGAGGCAGCAGUAGGGAAUCUUCCGCAAUGGGCGAAAGCCUGACGGAGCAACGCCGCGUGAGUGAUGAAGGUCUUCGGAUCGUAAAACUCUGUUAUUAGGGAAGAACAUAUGUGUAAGUAACUGUGCACAUCUUGACGGUACCUAAUCAGAAAGCCACGGCUAACUACGUG